rnacentral:rRNA from 1 species
CCUACGGGGGGCAGCAGUCGAGAAUCAUUCACAAUGGGGGAAACCCUGAUGGUGCGACGCCGCGUGGGGGAAUGAAGGUCUUCGGAUUGUAAACCCCUGUCAUGUGGGAGCAAAUUAUAAAGAUAGUACCACAAGAGGAAGAGACGGCUAACUCUGUGCCAGCAGCCGCGGUAAUACAGAGGUCUCAAGCGUUGUUCGGAAUCACUGGGCGUAAGGCGUGCGUAGGCUGUUUCGUAAGUCGUGUGUGAAAGGCGCGGGCUCAACCCGCGGACGGCACAUGAUACUGCGAGACUAGAGUAAUGGAGGGGGAACCGGAAUUCUCGGUGUAGCAGUGAAAUGCGUAGAUAUCGAGAGGAACACUCGUGGCGAAGGCGGGUUCCUGGACAUUAACUGACGCUGAGGCACGAAGGCCAGGGGAGCGAAAGGGAUUAGAUACCCCAGUAGUC